rnacentral:tRNA from 1 species
AAAGGGAGACCUAAUUCGGGUAGGAGACGAAAAAAAAGUAGUCGCUACCAAGAAUCAAUCCCAAAAGGUCGGAGCGAGGCGAAAUUGGCUUUCAAACUAGGUUCUGGGUUCACACAAGACCUGAAUCAGGAACAAGGGCUAUUAGCUCAGGUGGUUAGAGCGCACCCCUGAUAAGGGUGAGGUCCCUGGCUCGAGUCCAGGAUGGCCCACCUGCACAGGUGGCAAAAACAAGAGAAGCGAGGAAUCAGCACCUUAUCUUAUAUACAUAUAUAAGAGAGAAUGCUGGCUCUGAGUACAGAGUCCAGAGGAACCUUGAAAACUGCAUAGAGCUAGGUGAAAAAGCCAAAAAAGAAGACCGCAAG